CGUAGGGUGCGAGCGUUAAUCGGAAUUACUGGGCGUAAAGCGUGCGCAGGCGGCGCCGCAAGUCAGGCGUGAAAUCCCCGGGCUUAACUUGGGAAUGGCGCUUGAAACUACGGUGCUGGAGUGUGGCAGAGGGAGGUGGAAUUCCACGUGUAGCGGUGAAAUGCGUAGAGAUGUGGAGGAACACCGAUGGCGAAGGCAGCCUCCUGGGCCAACACUGACGCUCAUGCACGAAAGCGUGGGGAGCAAACAGGAUUAGAUACCCUGGUAGUCCACGCCCUAAACGAUGAUGACUAGUUGUUGGGGGAGUUAAAUCCCUUAGUAACGCAGCUAACGCGUGAAGUCAUCCGCCUGGGGAGUACGGUCGCAAGAUUA
rnacentral:rRNA from 1 species